rnacentral:lncRNA from 1 species
AGAUCAAGUUGCAUAACAGGAUAUGGCACCUCUUUCCUCUCGCUGUCGUGCUUCUGCUCCUGCUAUAUGAAACACUUCAUUGCCGCUUGGCCUUCUGGUAUGGUUGUGAGGCUUCCUGAGUCCUCCUAGAAGCAGAAACAACUAUGCUUUCUUUACAGCCCGAAGAACUCCGUUUUGCACACCCUGGUCAGAAUGAAACAUUCCUUGGGAACUCGGGCCGUGAGAAGCAUCCUUCCUGAUCACCUGACUGUAGAAACAUCCUUAUCGCACCCUCCCGGGCAAAGGCCCAACAGCCUGACUGCAGGAACAUCCUUGCCAUAUCCUGCCGGGCAGCAAGCUCUACCGCCCACACCCCUCCUUCCCAGUCCCAUGAUCACCCCAGCCUGUGAGAGGCAGUUGGUGCUGGCAGUAAGCUGGUUUCCUCCUCUGCAGGGUUUUGCUAGUAAUAAAGGUGUUGCUGUUGAAGCCGUCAACUG